GUAAUAACAAGAUAGAUUCAGAUCUAGAAUUCUUCAAAAUUGUAUAAAUUAAAUAUAAAUUUCUUUAUUUAAUUCUUCCUGAUAAGAUAUCAAAACAUCUACUGUGGAAGUUUGCAACGAAAUAACUAGUCGCAUCGUUAGUAAAGCAAAUGAAAAAUAUUUUUUCCUUCUUUCUUUUUCAGUUGGAAAUGUCAAUGGAGAAGUCGAAGGCAUUUGAUGACGUUAUUGCUAGGGAAAAUUGAAGAAGAUUAAUGGUGGGAUUAAUCUUGAUACUAAUGGCAUCUGAAGCUGAGUAUCAUCGCAUCCAAUGAUUUCUACCGGUUCUUCUUGAAUAUGCUUGAAUAGGGUUUGCUUGCCUCCAACGUCCUUGAAUCAUCGCCUUCUCGAUCCCAAAUCCAUUUCUAGGGUUCUUAAUUUCCAAAGCAUCAAAUGUCUUUCUCAACUUCAGAAUAAUUGAACAGCCUCAUAUCAAUCACCUUGGUUAGUGUUGUUAAAUUCCUGCAUGGAUGGAUAAUCGACGAUGGUCGAAUCGAACUGCCAGAGCGGACGACGGUCAGAUUUGGGGGGGAAUUGCCAUCGUUGUGUGACGAAUCAAAGUGGAGAAAAAAAUAUUAUUUCAUUGGAAUAAAAUAACAUUAUUUACAGCCUUAUUUAUAUUAAUUAUAAUCAACUAUAAUCUUUUAGUUAUCUUUAACUAAUUACAAUUAGUUUUAAACAACUAAUUAAAUUCAAGAUCUUUAAACAACUAAUUGUAAUUCAAGAUAUUUGAUCCA
rnacentral:lncRNA from 1 species